rnacentral:rRNA from 1 species
AACUUUCAACAACGGAUCUCUUGGUUCUGGCAUCGAUGAAGAACGCAGCGUAAUGCGAUAAGUAAUGUGAAUUGCAGAAUUCAGUGAAUCAUCGAAUCUUUGAACGCACAUUGCGCCCUUUGGUAUUCCAAAGGGCAUGCCCUGUUCGAGCGGUC